rnacentral:rRNA from 1 species
AAUGAACGCUGGCGGCAUGCCUUACACAUGCAAGUCGAACGGCAGCAUGACCUCGCUUGCUGGGUUGGUGGCGAGUGGCGGACGGGUGAGUAAUGCAUCGGAACGUGCCUUUUAGUGGGGGAUAACGUAGCGAAAGUUACGCUAAUACCGCAUAUUCUCUGAGGAGGAAAGCAGGGGACCUUCGGGCCUUGCGCUAGAAGAGCGGCCGAUGUCGGAUUAGCUAGUUGGUGAGGUACAGGCUCACCAAGGCAACGAUCCGUAGCGGGUCUGAGAGGAUGAUCCGACACACUGGGACUGAGACACGGCCCAGACUCCUGCGGGGGGCCGCAGUGGGGAAUUUUGGACAAUGGGCGCAAGCCUGAUACAGCCAUGCCGGGUGAGUGAAGAAGGACUUCGGGUUGGAAAGCGCUUUCGGCUGGGAAGAAAUCGCACCCUCUUAUACAGGGUGUGGAUGACGGUACCAGCAGAAGAAGCACCGGCUAACUACGUG